rnacentral:lncRNA from 1 species
CACUGCCCCACAUCCUGGGGCAGCGGGAUACAUAUCAGUCAGGGUCUUGGCAGAAAGAGAUGGGGCACUCAGCCCAGGUGAAUAAAGAGAGUUUAUUAAAGGGACUAUUUAUAAAGGCAUGGCUGGAGCGAAGGAAUCCUUAAUAAGGGAUGCGGCAGAACAGCAGAAGGAGUGAGUACCACAUGCACCAGGAGCUGUCACCACCCCAGGAUCAGGAGGGCCAGGUAGAGAUCUUCUGCUGGUGCCUCUCUU